rfam:Triticum urartu cultivar G1812 contig1045611, whole genome shotgun sequence.
AUGCUACUCCUUCCGUUCUAAUUUUUUUAUCUUGCAUUUGUCUAGAUAUAGAUGUAUCUAAUGCUAAAACAUGGCUUGAUACAUUCGUAUUUAGACGAAUAUAAGACAAGAAUUUUGAGACGGAGGAAGUAUUUU